GUGCUGCUUAUUCAGUUUAUAUCUAAUUUAUAAAUUUGACUAUUGUUAAAUAAUGGAAUGUGUUCCACUAUAGACUAAGAAUGACUUUCGGCUAAUUUGACGGUUGGGUUGCUGUCUCAUUCUAUAAUUUCCUCAUCACCCACUUUUGAUCACUUUUUUAUACCUCUUUGAUUUCUUUUUUAAUAUAAUUGUGAAAAACAGGAAUUAGCACUCCUCCUAAUAUAAUAAAGACAGCUCCAAAUACUGCAAAAAUUAUGCUACACUUGAUAGACUUUGAGCUGCACAUCUUCAUGAUCUUGUAAACAAUAACAUGUGAUUGCACGUCUACUGGUUCUCUAUUCUAUGGUAUUGCUAUUGUUAUACAUUUACAUACC
rnacentral:lncRNA from 1 species